GACGAACGCUGGCGGCGUGCUUAACACAUGCAAGUCGAACGGAAAGGCCCUGCUUUUGUGGGGUGCUCGAGUGGCGAACGGGUGAGUAACACGUGAGUAACCUGCCCUUGACUUUGGGAUAACUUCAGGAAACUGGGGCUAAUACCGGAUAGGAGCUCCUGCUGCAUGGUGGGGGUUGGAAAGUUUCGGCGGUUGGGGAUGGACUCGCGGCUUAUCAGCUUGUUGGUGGGGUAGUGGCCUACCAAGGCUUUGACGGGUAGCCGGCCUGAGAGGGUGACCGGCCACAUUGGGACUGAGAUACGGCCCAGACUCCUACGGGAGGCAGCAGUGGGGAAUAUGGCACAAUGGGCGGAAGCCUGAUGCAGCAACGCCGCGUGCGGGAUGACGCCUUCGGGUUGUAAACCGCUUUCGCCUGUGACGAAGCGUGAGUGACGGUAAUGGGUAAAGAAGCACCAGCUAACUACGUG
rnacentral:rRNA from 1 species